UACAGAGGGUGCGAGCGUUAAUCGGAAUUACUGGGCGUAAAGCGCACGUAGGUGGCGACGUAAGUCGGGUGUGAAAGCCCCGGGCUCAACCUGGGAAUUGCAUUCGAGACUGCAUUGCUGGAGUACGGAAGAGGAAGGCGGAAUUCCCGGUGUAGCGGUGAAAUGCGUAGAUAUCGAGAGGAACACCUGCGGCGAAGGCGGGUUGCUGGGCUGACACUGACGCUGAACUGCGAAAGCUAGGGGAGCGAACGGG
rnacentral:rRNA from 1 species